rnacentral:rRNA from 1 species
GGAGGCGCUCAAAGGUUCCCUCAGAAUGGUUGGAAAUCAUUCAUAGAGUGUAAAGGCAUAAGGGAGCUUGACUGCGAGACCUACAAGUCGAGCAGGGUCGAAAGACGGACUUAGUGAUCCGGUGGUUCCGCAUGGAAGGGCCAUCGCUCAACGGAUAAAAGCUACCCCGGGGAUAACAGGCUUAUCUCCCCCAAGAGUUCACAUCGACGGGGAGGUUUGGCACCUCGAUGUCGGCUCAUCGCAUCCUGGGGCUGUAGUCGGUCCCAAGGGUUGGGCUGUUCGCCCAUUAAAGCGGUACGCGAGCUGGGUUCAGAACGUCGUGAGACAGUUCGGUCCCUAUCCGUCGUGGGCGUAGGAAAUUUGAGAGGAGCUGUCCUUAGUACGAGAGGACCGGGAUGGACAUACCUCUGGUGUACCAGUUGUCGUGCCAAC